rnacentral:rRNA from 1 species
UACGGAGGGUGCAAACGUUAAUCGGAAUCACUGGGCGUAAAGCGCACGUAGGCGGUUCGUUAAGUGGGAUGUGAAAGACCUGGGCUCAACCUGUGAAUUGCGUUUCAAACUGACGGACUAGAGUACGAUAGAGGGACGUAGAAUUUCCUGUGUAGCGGUGAAAUGCGUAGAUAUAGGAAGGAAUACCUCUGGCGAAGGCGGCCUCCUGGAUCGAUACUGACGCUGAGGUGCGUAAGCGUGGGGAGCAAACAGG